AAGAGAGACAUGGGUGGAAGGAUGCAAAGACAUGGAAGGGGGAAGAGAGACAUUUAUGGAAGGGGAGAGAGACAUGGAUGGAAUAGGGGAAGAGAUAUGGAAGGGGAAAGAGUGACAUGGAUGGAAGUAGGAAAGAGACAAAGAUGGAAGGAGAAAAGAGAGACAUGAAAAGGGGAACAGAGACAUGAAUGGAAGGGGGAAAGAGAUAUGGAUCGAAGGGUAGAAAAUUUAUACUUUCUUGUGGUCACCUCCAAAUGGGCAUCUAAAGCGAAGGUGCGGGGCAGGGUGCCCAACCCAAAUGGACUCCAUACAUACAUGUUUGCUGAGAUUUGUG